rnacentral:lncRNA from 1 species
AUCAACGAAAAUGCGACUUUGGAUUUCAAAAGUGAUGGACACUUAUCUUUGUUGGUACCGAGGCCUGUCCAAGCAUAACUGCAUAUUAAAUCUUCAAUUGUAUUCUUCUGCAUAAAAAUAUAUUGGACAAUAGAGUUAAUUUAUAACCCCUCUGAUCUCUACUCUAAUCCCAUAAAAGGUCUUACUCAUUGAUUAAGCUACUCUUUAUAAUUAUUCCUAGAAGGCUUCUUUGGAUGGCUAUUACCCCACGGGACGACCGUUAUUCAGAUCGUUAUUCAGAUCUAGUAAAUCUGGU